GAUGAACGCUAGCGACAGGCCUAACACAUGCAAGUCGAGGGGCAGCACAUGAGUAGCAAUACGAUGGUGGCGACCGGCGCACGGGUGAGUAACACGUAUGCAACCUGCCUUCUACUAUGGGAUAACCCGUUGAAAGACGGACUAAUACCGUAUAAUACAGGGGCUCCGCAUGGAGAUAUUUGUUAAAGAUUUAUUGGUAGAAGAUGGGCAUGCGUAUGAUUAGAUAGUUGGUGAGGUAACGGCUCACCAAGUCAACGAUCAUUAGGGGUUCUGAGAGGAAGGUCCCCCCACACUGGUACUGAGACACGGACCAGACUCCUACGGGAGGCAGCAGUGAGGAAUAUUGGUCAAUGGACGAGAGUCUGAACCAGCCAAGUCGCGUGAAGGAAGACGGUUCUAUGGGUUGUAAACUGCUUUUCCAGGGAGAGAAACUUACGCACGUGUUGCGUGACUGACGGUACCCUGGGAAUAAGCAUCGGCUAACUCCGUGCC
rnacentral:rRNA from 1 species